rnacentral:rRNA from 1 species
GACGAGGGAUCCUAGCGUUGUUCGGAAUCAUUGGGCGUAAAGCGGGUGUAGGUGGCUUGGCAAGUCAGGUGUGAAAGCCCAGGGCUUAACCCUGGAAGUGCAUUUGAAACUGCCGAGCUUGAGUGUGGGAGAGGAUAGUGGAAUUCCUGGUGUAGUGGUGAAAUACGUAGAUAUCAGGAGGAACACCGGUGGCGAAGGCGGCUAUCUGGCCCAACACUGACACUCAGACCCGAAAGCGUGGGGAUCAAACAGG